rnacentral:lncRNA from 1 species
UUGUUAAUACCUUAGUGUAGCAUAACGAUGAUUUUUUAACUUGUUUUUCAGUUAUUGGUUAUUCAUACUUUAAUUCGUAGAAACAAGGCAGUUGUAGUUAGAGGAAGGUAGAGUUGGAUAGUGCAGUUAGUCUGGGACCAAGCAUUGCAUGAUGGACCUUUUCUUAAAAGAUCACUAAUUUGUUAAUGGGAAGUAUGCUGAUUUAUUAACAUUUGUUUGGUUAAAGCGAAUUGGAAGAAUAUGUUAUUGAUGCCUUGUACAAUGAGCUCAUGUAGUAUAUUCAAUCAUGUAAGACUUAAAGCAUGCACAUCAGUAGGGCAGUCUGUUUUGAGAAAGAGUUCUGCUUGCUGAAAGAUGAUUGCUUUUGACCAAACAAUCCCUUAAACUUUAGUUGUAGAGCAUGCCAAGUCUGUGAUGAAAUUGUGACCAUCUUCGAAGAAAAUAAAACAAUUUAGGUUGGUGAUUUACUUAUGGAAGGUUAGAGCUGUUGCCUGUACGAAUCACUCAUAUGUCUGUUACUAGUAGCUUAUUAACCUUAUUCUGUUCUUUUAUUAGAAUUAUUUCCCAACUGACUAAUAAAGGCAUCUGUUGCAUCUCCAUUUGAUUUUAGUUGUCAUCGUACUCUUUCUGAAUUAGUUAAAAAGUAUGAUCAUGCCUUUUUGAGAUCCUUGAGGCUGUUAGCUCUCUCUGUAACUACAGAAGAACAAUAGUUAUAGCAAGUCUAACAACUAUUCGAACCUAUUGUGGAUUUUAUGAUGAUCAUGAUAGGUCAGUAUUAGUGAGGCAAUCCCUUAUACAUCAAUCUGAUGACUUUCACAAUUGCAAAUUGUCCAUUAUACAGUAAUCAUUACAAAAGUGCCUGUUAGGUUUUAGGGCUAAGUAUUAUAUAUUUACAUUUGUAUCCCUGGGAAAUCGAAUUUUCAUAUAUACCCUUCAGAAUUGAAGUUUUUACUCAUGCUCUCUUUUGCUUACAAAAGAAGGCCUUACCUUCAUUAUUUUUUUUAGAAUACAAAACCAACUUCCCCCCUGAAUUCGGUGGCUCUCCAACUUAAGGUAUUGUUGUAAGAAGCAGCACUUUCAGUGGCAACGUGUGACAAUACAGAUUUUAGAUAGUGAUGUAUAUGUGAAUAGAUCAUUUUGCACGGAUGUAUAUGUGAAGGCCCGUAUUCUUGAAAUCAGGUUAUAUGGUUGUACCUCUCGAAAUCUUUUUACAUGAUACUUGUUAGUUGACAUUGUUUAGGAGUACUUUUAUAUUCCUGAAUGUUAUGAAAUGUGAAAUUGGGCCAUCAGUAAAUUAGUCGCAUCUGCUCUACAGGAGGAAUGACGGAGGAGAAAAAGGUUAUAAGACGGAAAACCCUCGCAAAGUGGCUAAAAGAGAGUAUUUUGAGAUUAGGCCCCACAUUUAUCAAAAUUGGGCAACAGUUCUCUACAAGAGUGGAUAUUCUGGCACAAGAGUAUGUGGAUCAGUUGUCUGAAUUGCAGGUCAUUAUGCUUAUCCGUCGUCUUUUCAUGUUCCUUUGAAUGAUUCAACUAUGAGGUCUAUCAUUGCUUCGUUCUGAUUGACCAAUUAGAUGAUAAAAUUUUCUCAUAUUAUAGGAUCAAGUUCCUCCAUUCCCUUCCCAAACAGCUGUAUCAAUUAUUGAGGAAGAACUUGGAGCCUCAGUGGAUAAUAUAUUUGAACGAUUUGACUAUGAGCCAAUAGCUGCUGCAAGUCUUGGUAAGAUAUAGCCAGUAGCAGGAGUGACAAGAGCUUCAAUUUUUUUGAGUUUUUUGUCUCCUUUCUUCAAAUUUUUUUAGUCAAAGUAAUUUGCAGCAGUGUACCUUUCUGUUGCAGGUCAGGUUCAUCGUGCAAGAUUAAAUGGUCAAGAAGUUGUGAUCAAGGUGCAAAGACCUGGUCUGAAGGAACUAUUUGACAUUGAUUUGAAGAAUCUAAGGGUUAGUUAUUGAAAUGUUCAUUUCCUUCUUGUGGACUCUGUUGUGAAUGGUACUAAUCCAAUUAUGAAUUGUCACUACAAUCAAUCUCCUCGAUCUUAGAUAUACUAAUUUACUUGCAACUGGAUAGUAUCUUUCUUCACAUUGUCGGGUAGCCUACACUGACCAGGGUUGGCAAGGAUGAGCAGUGGUGAAGCGGUGAUGGUUUUGAUGAGUGAGAUUGUUUUACUAAGAAAAACGUGAAUGAUAAUCUCUGUUGAGAUAUCCUGGGGAUAUAGGGAGAAGUAGAAAAUAAAAAUUACUGUGUUGUGAUAUACUUGUAGAUUUUUUUUAAAAUUUUGUUUUUCUUUAUCGUAGAAAUAUUUCUAACAUCCCCUUCAUGUACCUUCCUUUGGUAAGAGAAACUAAUUUACUUUGUUGCUUACAUAAAUUCAAGUAAUUGUAAGAAUGUCCGAUGGUGUCAUGUUGCAUUUGCUUCAUAAUGUGUUACGUCAGAUGUCUGGACCGUUGAUCACCGGAUGCUUGCUCCAAUACUGUUGUAAUUAAAUAUAGCUUAUUGAGCGAAGAGCAUUCUGCGUAUUAUAUGUACACAGUCGUAAGGUUAUCUCGGAGUUGCGCCUUGGUCCUGAGUUUGCUGUUCCAUCUGUGUAGCAAGUACAGUUAGGAAUGUAGAUUAUUUAUUGUUUUUCUGUCAUUCUGAUGCCAUUUCGGAUCUUAUACAAUCCGGGAACAUUGCAGGUAAUAGCUGAAUACCUUCAGAAAGUGGAUCCGAAGUCAGAUGGUGCCAAGAGAGACUGGGUUGCUAUCUAUGAUGAAUGUGCGAGCGUCCUAUAUCAGGUAAAACUUGAUAUUUUUUAGCUCAUUGCACCAACAUCUCAAUAUUAACUAUUCCAUUCAUUAACGCCAGUGAAGUGUACUAUAAUUUUAAGCCAUCAACAUGUGGUAUAAGUAUUGUAUAUAGUCUUGUUAUUGUGUUUCCCACAACUAUGAAAUUCCUUAUGUUUACAGCUUGAUAGCUGCAAACUAAUAAAUUAUAUAUCUGAUGCUGUAAUGGCUCUUUUCAGGAAAUAGACUAUAUGAAAGAAGCAGCUAAUGCAGAAAAGUUUGCUGAUAACUUCAAAAAUAUGGAUUAUGUAAAGGUGCCAAAUGUAUUCUGGGAAUACACGACACCUCAGGUUCAACUCCUCAGACUUAGUAAGCCUUGAAAAAGAGAUCUGGUUCAGAAACCAUUUUUCGUAUGAAGGAAUCCGCUAAAUAAAUAGCUUCUUGCUUUGCUGCAGGUAUUGACAAUGGAAUAUGUUCCAGGAAUAAAGAUAAACAGGAUAAAGCAACUAGAUCAGUUGGGUGUGGAUCGGAAAAGGUACAGGGGAACUGGGAUUGCCUCUUCAACGGGAAUCCUAAUAGAAGAACUUCUUUUGGAUUUAUAUCUGCAUAUUAUCUUAAGUUGAUUUGACCUUGAGCUUGAAAUUAAUCUCCUUCCAUCACAGAUUGGGCCGAUAUGCAGUUGAGUCUUAUCUGGAGCAAAUCUUAUCUCAUGGAUUUUUCCAUGCUGAUCCGGUUAGUUUUCUUUCUUUCGACACGAAUUCAUAAUGUGUCAAUGCCCUAAAAUUACUGGAGCAGCGUGAGAUGACAGACUAAAAUAAUUCAGAAGUAUAUGAAGAACUUCAGUCGAGAAGACAAGUUUGUAGUAGUAAUAUCAGUUCUAUGAGAAUCAUAUUUGCCGCUGAAAUCUAUGGAGUUUUUCUGUUUCCUUUUUUUUUCUUUUGGGGUGGAAGGGGGAGUGGAGGAGAGAAAGGCCACCCUUUUGGAUGGAGUGUUGACAGCAAACCAACAACUGGGAGCCUAAGACUUUCGGAGAAUUAUCAUUACUCUGUUGUGGUUCCUCAGUUCCUCAUUAAUUUUUAAUAGCAUGUACAACUAGAGAUAGAAGCAUCAUGAACGAAUAAGGAAGAAAAUUCUUGGUCUGAGACUCAGUAGAUGAGAUUUAGUGGAAGUUCAGUUCAUUAUGCUAUUCAAGUUCUUAGAGAUACAAUGAUGUGUAGGUUUUGCUCUAACAGUGCCUUCUCAUUGCAGCAUCCUGGAAAUAUUGCUGUUGAUGAUGUCAAUGGCGGCAGGCUCAUCUUCUAUGAUUUUGGAAUGAUGGGAAGGUUGAUUUUUGAAUCCUCACUUCCCAUAGGCUGUUGACUUGCGGAAUCCAUCCCCCCUUAUAAACUGAAAAUGCCAUUAUCUGUUGCAUCUUUUAAUCUGUGCUGGUUUUCUUUUUCCUUGCAGUAUUAGUCCUAAUAUAAGGGAAGGCUUGCUUGAAACAUUCUAUGGAGUAUAUGAAAAGGACCCCGAUAGGGUUAGUUUCUCUAGACCUUUUCAAUAUUUCUCUGAACUGUGGAGAUGAUUUCAAAGUGCGUAGAAGUCCUGUAAACUAAAAUCUGUUGCGAAAAAUUCAUAAACUGCACAGGUUUUCUUCUUCAUGAGAAUAAUUUUACCUUGUUCUCUCAUGUUACAAGUAAAUGAUUGAUGUUGUUGUGUGGUUUUUAUUUUAUAUCUGUGCAUUUCUGUGCUUUUGUUUACGGCAUGAACUCCAGCUGUUAACAGAGUUUGUAUUCUGAAGAAUUUAGUUUAGUACAUAGAAUCACAAAUAAGUCAACAUACAGGUGCUUCAAGCGAUGAUUCAAAUGGGAGUCCUUGUUCCCACCGGUGAUAUGACAGCUGUCAGAAGAACAGCUUUAUUUUUCCUUAACAGGUAGUUUCACAAGAAAUACUGUCGAAGUAAUGAACUGUAAGGCUGAGGUACAUUCUUUUUAUAUUUUAUUUUAUUUUACUUUAUUUUUUUUGCAGCUUUGAGGAACGUCUAGUGGCCCAGAGGAAAGAGAGAGAGAUAGCAAGCACUGAACUCGGAUUUAAAAAGCAACUGACCAGAGAGGAAAAACUAGAAAAGAAGAAGCAAAGACUCGCAGCAAUUGGUAAUGGAUUUGAUUUACUUUAUAUAUUAUGUGGCGACAACUCUUAUACUAUUAGACUUUUAGUAUUACCUUAUAAUGUAGUAGGAGAAACAUUAGAUUAAAUUUCUCUAAGAAGAUGUGAAUGUUUGCAAUUUAUGAUGUAUUUUUGUCUAGUAUUUAUCUGAUUUGGUUCUCACGUGUAAUCUAUUUUGCAGGAGAGGAUCUCUUGGCAAUUGCUGCAGAUCAACCUUUUCGCUUUCCUGCUACUUUCACAUUUGUUGUUAGAGCAUUUUCAGGUCUUUUAUUUAACAGCCUGAGAGCUAAUUGAACCCUAUCAUUUCAUUGAGUCGUCUUAAAUAAUGGUGUUCUUGUACGUGCAGUAUUGGAUGGGAUUGGGAAGGGCCUUGAUCCUAGAUUCGACAUUACAGAAAUCGCCAAGCCGUGAGUAUCAAUUUCUGAUCUUAUAGUAUUUUUCUACUAUUUUUCAGAUCUGACUAAAAUUACGUGAUUUUAAUUGCUAGGUAUGCCUUGGAAUUACUAAGAUUUCGGGAAGCUGGUGUUGAAGUAGUUGUAAAGGUAAGAGCGUGCUCCUUUACUGUUAAGUUACUGGUCAUAAAUGAUGGUGCACUACCAAAGUUUAAAUAUAUUUUCUUUAUUAAAAAAAUUUGCAGGAUAUAAAGAAAAGAUGGGAGCGCCAAUCGCGUGCAUUCUAUAAUCUAUUUAGACAAGCUGAUAGAGUUGAAAGACUUGCGCAAAUAAUUCAACGUCUGGUAUAUACUAAACACUAAACAGAUACACUGCAUUAUUUACCCAGUAGUUUGCUUGUUGUGCUUGUUUGGCCUGGCUUCUAGGGUAACUCAUCCACUCCGAAAAGCAGAACUUUCAGAAACCAGGUGUUUUGCCAUAAAAUGAGCUUUUGUGUUGCAAAAGCAGAUCCAAUUUAACAAAAUUUUUAAUAGUAGAAGCUGUUAGUGCUUCCUUAACAACUCUUUUGCAGAACCUCCUGCUUGGCCCAAGUAGUUUCGUAUUUUUUUUUUUUUUUUUCACUGGUAGUCAGUUAUAAUGCAAUUGCAUUAUCUUACAGGAGCAAGGGGAUCUCAAGCUUCGAGUGCGAACUUUGGAAUCUGAAAGAGCAUUCCAAAGAGUUUCUGCUGUACAGCGGACAAUUGGAAAUGUGAGUUCAUUCUCUUUCGUGAUUUUGUCGCAUAUUCAAGUAAAAUGAUUACAUUAGCUACGCAUUUUUUGUGAACGAUAGCAAACAGUGAACAGGGGAAUCAAUGCUAAUUACACGUCAUGCUUAUUGCCCAAAUUUUGUAAAUGUCAAGUACACUCUUUUGAGUUAAAAUCCUAAUUUUGAAGCUUCCUCUCCAUUUACAGGCGGUUGCUGCAGGAAGUUUAGUAAACCUUGCUACACUUUUAUACCUCAAUUCUAUUAGAGUAAGCAACUCUCUCUCUAGAAUAAACUUCAUCACAUCUCAUUAUCAUUUCUUCAUGUGUGUAUGCACAUGUUGAUGUCUAUUAUCCUGAUCAUCAUUAUUCUUGCACAGGUCCCAGCAAUUACCGCAUAUGUGUUCUCCGCAUUCUUUGGAUUGCGAAUUCUCUUUGGUAUUCUCAAGGUCAAGAAGUUAGAUCAACAAGAGAGAUUGAUAACAGGCACUGCAUAAGUUGGUGGUCACUCCGCGAUCAACACCUUCUGUUCAAAUAGUUUUGGUUCGUGUACUAUCCCUCAUUUUAUUUAUUUUUCCUUUACUGCGCAUUUCUUCAUCCCACCCCGGCCCUGAUUUGCGAUGUAACAACAUUAGCGAGCUGAAAUAUGUAAAUGCCAUGCAUAAGAUAUAUAGAUGUAAAUAUGAUGUUAUAUUGUUUUCAACUUCUCGCAAAAUAAAGGUGCUCGACCUCUGCUUGUAACCCUACUGCUUGUGCGAGAAGCGUUACGUUUGCUGCAGAUUUAAAUUAUUACGAGUGCUGCAGGCUAGUGUGGAUCUUUUUUGUUUUCGCAGUUUUCGACAACAUUUUCUGUAGAAGGCUCGCAAGACAAAUGACAGCGUUGCCUCGAAUGGUAGCCAUCUGAAUGUUUUUGGGGGAAGAUGAAUUUAAUCAUGUUGCUUGUUCUCUGGUCUGCAGUUUGGACUAAUGUUCAAUGUUUCUUUUGUAAAUUAAACCUCAAUCUUGAAGUAUAAUCACUUCAUUCAUGGCUCGUUUUUAUUUUAUAAUUAGCUGAAGACUUUGAUUUUGCCAUCUGCCUAGCUUGGAAUGUUUUUGUUGGUCUGGACCUCCGGUGCAGGACUAGCUCGCCUUGUCAAUCUGCAGCUGCAGGCUCGGCAGCAUUUGGAGGCAACCGGACCUGGGCUUCGUUUUUGUUCCCCUACGAAGUCGAGUCGAGAUCAGGUUUACGGCUGGAGCUUUCAAACAUCCUUGCUCUUGCAACUCCGGCAAAACAAACAGUGCCUUUGUCCAUGGCGCCAACAACUUACGAAACUAACUUUUUUUUUUUUGGGGGGGGAGAAUAAUUUUGAUAGCUAAGUACAAAUAAUAAAACAAGGACACCACGGGAAUCAUCACCUCAGCCGUUAUGACAAAAUGCUGAUGAUGAAAAUCACCUGUUAUGUCUAAAUAUUGAGGGGUAAGAUUUAAACCUACAUAUAAGUGUACAGAUAACAUUUUUGGUAAAAUAUAAAAUGGACGAGGGAGCUAUGAAAAUCAUUUGUGACCAUAAAUGUUGAUUUUUCGCCUCAGCCCCGAAAACUCAACUGCUUGAAGGUUGUCGGCUUGAGCCGACAAUCCACUCAGAGAUUUAUUACUCAAAAAGUUCCAACUGCAUGAAGUUUGAUCAUAAUUUCAGUUAGAUCCUCAAAGCUCCAACUUCAACAAUUUGGUCCCCCGAUGUUUUGUCGCCCUCUGGUCAACCACCGGCACAGGCAAUGGUAGAUAUAAGGACUAAACAAUCAAGUAAGCCAAACUUUUGGGGCGAAAUUGGUAAAGACUGAAACACUUGGAGGACGAAAACCAUUCAAGCUCGAAGACUACGUUUCUGAUUAACCACGCAACAGAUAUGAUUCUAGUGGAAGACAUUAACACCAAGCCCAACAAUCUCCUCAAACCAACCAGUUAUUAUCCAGCAGAAAGCUGCAAUUCUCUGUUGUGGAAAAAAAAGCUCUGAAUAGGUUCAUGAUGCAAAACUGCUGCAGAUAAUCCUUCUAAGAUCAGAUGAAGCAUCUUCCAACAAAAUAACACCAGAAUCAGUACAUCUCUCUCCCCCUUCCUCUCUCUCUCUCUCUCUCUCUCUCUCUCUCUCUCUGUGUGCUGCCAUCCAAAUCAGAGAAUGUAGUCUCUCUCAAUCAGAAAGUAUACAGAAAAAAAAAAACCCUAUAUAUGCUGAGUACCACCAUAUCUGGCCAAAAUUCGGGCAGGUGAUUAUUAUUCUUUUGGAAACCACAAUGAAUCCCCUAUCCUUUGUACACUGUAUUUACAGUAAGUCAAUUUUCAUCAACUCCUCAUGUGGUAGGGAGUCCAAAUCAGCUUGCUAGCGUCAAACUCCACGCCUCGAACGCCUGCAGGUCUCAGGUGGCGAUUGAGGAUGUUGGGGUUUGUACAUAUGACCAGCAUCCCCUUCUUGUACUUUAUCAGAUCCAGAUCCUCGAGCGUGUCCAAUAUAUCUCCUGCCGCUAUGCCCGUUGAGUCGCUAAGUUCCUAAAAUUGAACACAAGAAAACUUGUCUCCCUUUGCGAUCGAAACAACCAAAUUAGCACUGUUGGUGAGCAGUGACAGGAUUUCUAGACAAGCAUGAUUCCCGAAAGGGGACAGGUUCUUUGACCUCUACUGAAGAAAAUUAGCAAUCUUUCCAACAACUCGGUCCAUUUAUCAGUCUUUCCUUCUUUGAUAACUAACAUACUUAUAUUCACAACUUAAACUCAGUUCACAUCAAUGAAGAUCCUGCACUUCCUCAAUACAUCCUUACCACUAUUCUUCAAAGUCGUAUCGCUAGUGUUCUUAUACCGUAGAAAAGUACUUGCUUGGUCUUACUCUUUUCCAAAGCAUUAAUGUUCGUAGCAUCAUUAUGUUUGCCUAAUCAAAGAAAAUCUUCAAUCCUUGUUCCUAGCAUUUUGAACUUUUACUUGCCGCAAAGUUGGCCUAAGACUGAUCAAUAAAUCUUCCAAUCAAGUGAGAACAUAUGCAAACCUACGCAAAUGAAGUCACAUGAAGUCUUUCGACCAAGGUAACAGAGAAUGCAAAAGUAGUGCAGAAUAAAUACUACUAUCUCGACAUAACAAAAGAGAGUAUGACCGACAAGGAUGAUUAAAUCAACUUAACAAGUUAAAUGUGCUCAAACUAGUAAUACCAGUAGAAUAUUAGGCUAAAAAUCAUUCAUCUUUAAAAUAAAUAGUGCAUUCUGACAUCUUUGAGGUUCAAAUUCAGCAAUAUAUAUUCUGGUAAAAUCAAAUCAUUCUUUUAAAUUAAAUUCACAGCUAAAUACAGUAGAAGGAAAUAACUGUGAUCAAUUGUGAAGGAUGCUAACCUUGAUUGACACGGUUUCCUUCUCUUGAAGGAUGUUUACAAGAACCCUUGUCCAGUACAAUUUGUAGCUCAACUGUCCCAACUUAGAGAGAGGCCGCUCCGGCCCCCUUGCUUUGCCUUCCCUUCUCGAAAACUCAUAUGCUGCCAAUAAUAUCAUUAUUUUUCAUGAGACAGUUCACAAUUUAUUCAUUGAUCACGUGCUUUUCCCUCUUUGAUCGUGUAGAUUAAGCUUCCAAAUGUCCCUUUCAAUCUAUUAGAACACUUCUUCUUUUGGGAAAAGAUCUACUAGAAACGCUAGGAGGCUUACAUAAUUCUAUUAGGAGUGUACCAUAUCCUUUUCUCUGGAAUGGAGGGAAGGUGAGAAUGCAAGAUAAAUUGUACUUCUGCUCUACGUUCUUAACCUAAAAUAUAUAAGGAAAAGUAUUAUAUCAGUGAAAGUGUAAAACUCAAAUUGUGAGCUUGCCGAUAAAAUGAGAAUAUGUGAUUAUUAAUAGAUACAUAAAAGUAUCCAAAUUCACAAAAAACCACGUGGCGUUUGCAAACCCAGAGGAUAAUUGAGGUCUCAAAGAUAUGUGCAAACGUCAAAGUUGAUCGAAAUAAAGAUUAACUUCUCUUAAGAAGCCAAAAUCAAGGCAUAAGCCCAUAUCAUAGGAAACAACAAUAAUAAACUAUCAUGGAAUAUCUCAGCUAUACAAUUACCUUGGAAAAAUAUGCAACCAUAUGGUACCCUUGAUCAUCAUAUUCGCAAAGAAUGUAAAACAAGAAGUGCUCAACUUCAGGCUUGGAUGCCUUGCUCGAAAGAAAUAAUUUUGCCAAAAUACAGAGUGUUCCUGUAUAAACCUCCUCCUCUUUGCCAUCAACCUGGUAUAUACAUCCUCUUAGAGUACAGGAAAUUAGAAACGCUCAAUAUUCUUCUUCUUCUUCUUCUUUUGGAAAGGAUUUUAGAUAUAUUCUAAGUAGAAAAUUAAAAACUGCCAUACCUAAUUAAAGUCAGGAUUUAAACUUUAAAGAACUAUUUAUCAUAAAAAAUUAUUUAUGUCAGACUUCAUGGGCUAUAGCACUAUAUUGCCACUUUGAGUAACAUAAAUCAUAUGAAUUAAAUUAAUGUUCAUUCACAUGACGAUCUUACCUCAAACACAGAUAGGUUGCCACUCUGGUAAAUCUCAGUGCCUGGCGGGUGCCUAAGAUGACAACUUUCCUAUUAGAUAGAAAAAUAUGAUUUGUCAAUGAGAGAAUAGAGCAAAACAGAUGCAUCAAAACCAGCAUGUACUGCAAUGAUCUUUCAUAGGCAUCAAAAAAAAAAAUUUCUAACAGCACAGAUCGUGAAUUCAACUGCUCAAACCUCGAUCUUAAGAAGGAAGCAUAUAAACGAAGCUUUCAUAGAGUGAAGGAAUAAACUCCCCUACAUGUUUUGUUUAGCAACUGUAUACACUAGUUAUAACCUAUAACAGGCAGUAACCGUAAAUAUAACAGAAAUAAUUCUUUUUGAUUAAUUCGUAAUGUUUAGUUGCACAUGAACAAAAUAAUUAAGAAUUUUCAAUGGUCGUUGACACACUGAACUGCACCCCGUGUAAGCAUGGUAUGUACCAAAAAGUGGCAAUCCUUGGUAGUAGCAUUGUCCAUUAACCUUUUUGACCCUAUCUCUUGCACAUUAUUGCAUAAUCAAAGUAAAAAAACUGUGUGAUGAUGUAUCAAAAUCUAGAAGUACAAGUUAGGGUAAAGAUUCUCAGAAUAUGAAAAUCUGCAAAACAAGUUGAGUAAGAUUGUAAGAAUAUGUUUACUGGUGAAUAAAUUGAUUUUUGAGAAUAAGGUCAAUAUAAGAAAAAUACAAGGUUUAGCUCACCAUGUGCCUCUCAAGAUGUCCUUUCUGCUCCUUAAAAUCAAGGCAGAACUCACAGAAGUAUAGCUUCGAAUUGUCGUUAUCAUCCAAAAAAGGAGAAUGAAGCGACGUAUCAAUUUCAUGCGUGCCAAGUCCUAUUUUCGCAAUAUGUUUGAGUCUAAUAAUCUCACGCAAUUGCUGCAAGCUAGCAAUAUCAAACUCCUCAUGUCCCUGAAUAUAAAUAGGAGGUUACUCUCACUAGACAAUUAGAAAAUACAAUAUAGUACAAAAGAUAGAAGAUAGAACGUAAUGAAUACUCUUCCUUUUCCACCCUAAAGGAAACUUGCUUGCUAAUGUAUUACGGUUACACAAACUGCAAGACGUUCAUUUUUCUUUGUAGCUAAUAACCGAACAAAGCUAUCCACCCGAACACACUUGCAACUUAUGACACAUUAUGCAAAACUACAGUGUGCUAAAGAUUUAGCUAAUAGCAAUACUGUGGUCAUAUUAUUGCAUGUAUAUCACAAGCAAUGAAGCAUGCUAACCUCUAAGAAAGGGAAAAAAGAUAGGUCCCACAACAAAAUGUUGCCAUUAUAUCACCAGAAAAGAUAAACAAAUUAGUAUCAAAGAAAAUUAGAUCUUCUUUCAAUUUCCUGAAUAUUCCAGAACAGAAAUCAUUUAUGUCACAAAUUCGGGAGAUUAAAGAUCUGUAACAUGCGAUAUUUUCAUCAUGCUGAUUGUUCAAAAUUAAUGCGAUACCUUAUCGUCCGUUCGCUUAUCUGCAUCAGCCCCCUCCAAACCAAGAUCAAGUUGUUCACUCUUAACCCACACACCACGACUCCUAUCAGCUGCAAAAUUUCAUAUGUAGGAACAGAAGCUAUGUAUGAUAUAACAAGGAAAAUCAUCCCCCCUAAGUGUCACAGGAAAAUCAUAUUGCAUUGUCAUUUUAUUACUUUGAGCACUUUUUGAUUAAAUUUUGAUUAAAUUCAACUCCAUUGUUCCCGCAAUUCAGUUAUAGACCAAGACUUCUCUGUAUGAUCAAUAGAAGCAUAUAUAGGAAGAUCCGGCCAACCAAUUACAUCUAAAUGCUUAACAGGAAUGUUCAAGGAAGCUCCCCAGUAUUAGGAAACAUAAGUAAAUGUUCACGGCUUAAAUAACAAACUAGUAUACACUAAAGAAUCUGAGAUCAUCUCUAAGUUCAACAACAAAUCGCUCAUAACCGAUAGAGAGGUUAUACAAAAUCUUUUUAACCCUGGAACAAUGCCAAUUCAAAUCAUUAAACAUUUUGAAUAAAUUCACAAUUCUAGGAUGUUUCUGGAACCCAUUUCGAAUCUCAUAAGAAGCAUUUAGAAGACAAGCACCACAAGAAUGUACUAGAACUCAUCGCACUAAUCACCAACACCCUAAACCCUACCAAGAACAUGCAUUUUGUGACAGUCCCAAGACGACAAUCGUAGAGCACAAUUAGGGCACCAAAAUUUCCCUCAUCUCGCUCAUAUCCCCACCAUAAUUCUAACAAAACAACAAAAAAAAAGUCGAAACAAACAGAGAAACCGAGCAACAAAGUAGCGAUCCCCAACCCAAACCCUCAUCCAAACCCUAUUUAGGGUUCCGAACUGAGGAGAGAAGAGAGAGAGAGAGAUAGAGAGGGGCUCACAAUCGGUGCAAUGCACGUAGUACUCGUACUCAUCGCCGCCGCCGGGAAUCACGCGGCGCUCGACGAUCUCCGCCGGGAUCAGCUGCCCCUCCCGCCGCCAAAGCACGGACGCUCCCACCUCCAGCGGCGGCGGCGGCGCCGGGUCAUCCUCCGCCCCCGGAGCGGCGGCGCCGCCGCUGGUUCCCGGCUCCGGCGACGAGCUCAUCGAGGCAGGCUCUUUCUUUAUAUAGGGCGGUCCAAAGAAACAGUUCGCUUCGCGGGUUUCUGCGUGCGUUUGAACGUGUUUGCACGAAGGCCCCUCCCUUCUCGACUUUUAAUGAAACAGCCCCUUAUACUUUGAGGGCAUAUUAUAUAUAUAUAUAGAACUAGGUUACUAUACUAUUAAUAGCACCAAGUCAUUAGUGCUAUCAAGUUUUUAGCCAUUGGAUUAAGAGAUGUGCGGUUAGAAUGAUGUGGGUCCCUUAGGGUUGAGUGGGUGGUUGGUUAAAUAGUAUGAUCUAAUGGAUGAAAAUGAUCAAAAGGUUAGCACCAAGUACUUUGUGCUAUUAAUAGCAUAGUAGCCGGAGUCUAUAUAUAUAUAUAUAUAUAUAUAUAUAUUUUUUGCUCACUUUAAAAAGGUAUGAACAUAUAAAACUUACCUGAACAAAUUUGAAUUUACUAUUCAAAAUAUUUACACUUUUUUUAAUUUUACUCUCUAACUUUUUAAUUUGUUUGAUAUAAUUCAAUUAACAGUAUUUUCAUUUUAAAAUUUAAGCUAAUUUUUUAAUUUAAUUAAUUUAUGAUUGUGAAAAUUUUAUGAAGUAUACUAAUUAAAUAUGUAAAAAUAGACAACACUAGUCAAAGGGCCGUUAACUAACUCAAAUCAAACAAAUUGAGAGAUUAAAUAGUAAAAUCAAAAUUUGAAAGGUUAGGUGGUCGAUUCAUAAUUAUCUACAAUUCAGAAAAUUUUCAUUGUUUUUACCCUUUUAAAAGGGUAAAAUAUAUAGUUAAACUUUUAGUUUUAACAAUCAAACUUUCUAAACUUUAUGAAAUAUUUUAAUACAUUCUUUUCUUUAAGUAAACUUACUAAUUAUACUAUCAUUUUAAUGGGAUGUUGUACAUAUAAUUCUGUAAAACUUCAAAAUAUAAAGAUAUCUAUUUUUUCUCCUUCAGUUUUGAUGCUAAUUUUGAUGAUAAAAAAAAUAGUUAAAUCAAACUUCAAUUUUUAUUACUUCUUUUUACAUGUUAGAAUACAAAAAAACAAAAAUUUCUUUUGAAGCUCUAUAAAACUAUAUGCAAUAUAUGCAACAAAAAUAAUUGUACAAUUAAUAAUUUUUAAUUAAAAAGGAGGGGUCUGUUAAAAUACUCGAUAAAAUUUAAGGAGUUCAGAUAAAGAAAGAUAUUAUGUUGUCUGCUUUGUUUAUUUUUCUAAAUAUAACUAGAAAUGUGAAAUAAUUAAAUUUUAAAUUUUAAAUAUUUAAUAUCAAAUUUUUAACCAAUUGAGCAAGUUACGAUAGAUAUAAAAUACAAAAAAAAAUUGCGCAUAUUGUUAUUUUUUAAAUUAUGUUACUUCAAAUAUAUUGUCUAUAGAUUCGCAUCUCUUUUUCUUUUUUUUUUAAGAAAAAACUUUAAAUAUUAUUUCUGUAGUUUCAUAUGUUUUUUAUUUUAGUAUCUUGUGAUUUAAAAUAAUUAAUUUAGUAUUCUGUAAUUUUAUUUUUUUUUUAUUAUUCACUUUACUAAUUUUUUUGUUAAAAAAAUUAGUAACAAAGUAAAAACUAAAAUAUAUUAAAGUGAAUAUUUAAUAAAUCUAGGUGAAAUAUUUUAAAUUUUUUUUAUAUAUAAUUGAACGAAAUAUUAAAUGAGUUGAGGAGGAAAAAAAAAAAAAAAAAUUGAUGCACUAUAAACUAAACUACAGGUACUAGAGCGGUAUUUGAAGUUUACCCUGAAAAAAAAAAAAAAAAAAAAAAAAAAAACUCCUCCCUCAAAUACGAAGAUACUAUGCGACCGCGCGAGCAUCGUUUUCACCGAGAGAGAGAGAGAGAGAGAGAGAGAGAGAGAGAGAGAGCUCUCGGGGCGCCAUGGCGAUGUCCCUUCUUCGUCCUCCUCCUCCCUCCUCGCCCAAUCUCCAUCGCCCCUCUCCUUUCUCCUCCUCUUCCUCCUCCUCCCUCUCCCCCUACUCCCAUUUUCCCAUCCACGUCGCCGUUUCCAAACCCUACCUCGCUCCCACGACACUCCCCUACGCGCUCCGCCCCCCUUUCUCCUCUCUCUCCUCCGCACCCUCUUACCCUAAUGCUUCCGCUCUCGCACCCUCCGUGGGAUCUCCCUCCACCUCGCCUCAGCUCGCGCGGUGGAGCCUCGGCCGCGACCACAUCUUCCUCCUCAAUAUCACUGCUUGCGCGGUAUGAAUAUGAUUCGUUGGUCACACGCUUUAAUUCUUCAAAGAACUGCGAUUAUUGGAUUGGCCAUUGGAAAGGGAGAUUUUGGGCGAUAAGUUUUGAUGCGCAUGGCCUUAAAAACUGCAUCUUUUCGCGGUAUGAUUUGAUGAUUACACGCUUUGGUUCUUCAAAAUUUCAAAUAGCUGCGGUUUUUGGAUCAGUCGUUGGAAAAGGAGUUUUUGCGCAGUAAAUUGUGAUAAUAUGGCCUCAGAAUCACAUCUUUGCAUGCUAAAAACCAAUUCUAUACACGCUGUAGAAUCAUAGAUUACCUACUGUGAUUUCCUUUUUCAGGUGGCCAUUUCCGCCUCGUGGCUAUUUUUCUCCGCGAUUCCGACCCUUUUGGUACGCAUUUUCUUACCUUCGUUUAUAUUUGAUUGAGGUUUCAGUAUCACUAAUUGUUCUCCGUAAUUACUAUCCUGGAAAAUUUAGGCUUUUAGAAAAGCAGCGGAAUCGCUCGAGAAGCUGCUAGAUGUCACGGCAGAAGAGCUUCCGGAUACCAUGGCUGCUGUCAGGCUCUCCGGGAUGGAGAUUAGCGACUUAACCAUGGAGCUCAGUGAUCUGGGGUGAGCCAUUGAUGGUUUCUUUUUGGUUAAAAUGUGAUGAGAAUUACUCAAAUAUAGACCAUUUUGAAAUAGAUCAAUCUAGUUUAUCUAGCUUUAAUUCUUAGUUAUUCCAGUCAAAUUGAGGAUUUUGUUAAAUAUAAUAGCCUUAUUCGUAGUUAGUAGAAUAAUUGUCAAUGAUCUUAUAGAUCCGUUUGCUAAAAAAGCAGUACAGUGAUUAAAUUUAACAGAAUUACUGUUGAAUUAAUUGAAUUUUAAUUUUCUAAACAAUUUGAAUAACUUAAAUCGAAACAAUUGAAAGUUCAAAGGCGCAAAUAAAAAAAAAAAGUUGAAGAGAAUUUUCAAAUGGGCUAUAUUUCGCUGGGUUCCGUACAUAUUUAGCUUUUUCUUAUAAUGAUUUUAUCUGCUUUUAAGUUAACGAAGACCAUGAUUGCUAUAUGAAUUAUCUCUGUUGUUCGGUUUGUGAUUAUUUGAUUCUUGUGUCGAAACAUAUUUGUGAUGUAUAAAUAUCAUCUCUACUAUGUAUUUCAGCAAGUUAUCGCUUUUCUUAGUUGGACUGCCGUUUACUGUUAUUAUUAUUAUUAUUUUUUAAUGUUAUUCGUCUUCACAAUUUACUUUUGUAGGCAUGACAUAACACAAGGUGUUAGAAGCUCUACUCGAGCCGUCCGUGUAGCAGAGGACAGAUUGCGCCUCCUCACUAAUAUGGCUCCAGUUGGUAAGUUCCAUGGUCUAUGUUAUUAAUUUGUGGUUCAUUAUGAUCGGAUGGUGUAUUCCAUUUUCACUUGAUUAGUAUCUGUGCAGGGGAAAGCCACUCUGAGGAACGAAACGGAGACAGAGAUACAGGGACCAAUGCUCGCUAGAACAGCAAGAAACUUGCGGGAGGGGAUUGUAAAGGGCCGAGCAGGUUUUGGAGUAAUUUUUAGUAUCAUCCAAUUUUCUCGGUGGGGUUUAAAUUUUCUUUCCGCCCGUAGACAGAAGCGCUCAGCUUGAAAGCAUCUGACUGAGCAGAUCUUUCUAUGGACUGAGCAGAUUCAGUGGAUCUGGUCAACUCUUUUUGUGGUUGCAUCCUCGUUCAAUAUAUUUAUCUGUCCAUAGGCGAAGCUGCUCUAUCAAUAUCACUACAUAAACCAAGUCAUGGGUUUACAGAGCCUCGGAGUUGAAGCAUUCACUUCAAACUUUGGUUGUGUGAGUAGCUCGUGUUGUUCAAAUCGCUUUGAGCCCUUUGUUUUGUUGUCAAUAUGCUUUCCUAUUUGGGAACUUUAUUUUGUGUGUUUAAAGAUUCUCGAAUAAAAUUUUGUGCAGAGUUUAGAUGCUACAUUUUCAUCACAUAAUGAAGUCAUUGGAAAUAGUACUGGGAUAGAUUUCUUCUAGUAGAAAAGAAUUGAAAGUGAAUUGUUUGUUUGUUUGAUGGCUUCGUUGUGAAAGAUUUGUGUUAGAGUUCUUCGGUGCGGAUCUCUUAUUAUGGUAUCCUACUUGUUCUUGAAUUCUUCUUAUUUAAGUAUAUCAGCAAGCCUGCAGCAGUUAAGUAGUUGGGUUAUUGCUUUUCUGUCGGUUAAAACUAAGUGAUGUUAACAUUUCAUAUUGUUUCUAUCUAGCCUUUGAUCGACGCAGCACCUUUUUACUCUCCAAAUGUUCUGUAAUUGCUUUCAGGUUCUAUUGGUCUAGCUGGGGAAAAAAUGCAUCAAAUUAGUAUUACGAUGUGAUAUAUUAUUAAACUGAUGCUUAGUAAAUUUCCAGUAUUAUCUCUUCCUUUCCUUUUUUGAAUCCGAGUUGGUAUUUUUUCGUUCUUUUGGUUAUUCUGAACUGCUCUUUUAGCUUAGAAUGGAAUGACCAUGUUAAUCAUCAAAAUGUCUGCGACAAUCAACCAUUUAAUCGAACUAAUCGGACGAAGGCCUUUACUGCGACAAACUGAAUUGUUUGAGUCAAUUUCGAAGCACAAUUUUUCUUGUCGAUUUGGUUUACGCGAUUGUUUGGUUUAUGAAAUUGUCCAUUUGGUCCAUUUUGGCCAUCAUAAUUCCUCAGAAAUUUGUACAAAGUGAAAUUGGGUAUGUACUUCAAAACCUCACUGAUACCGGUUUAAGUUUGUUGCAGAUUGCAGUGCUAUUACUGAAUUUAAAAUUAGAAUUUUGCUAUGCCUACUAGACCUUCAGGCACUAUUUUGCUCGUUCGAGAGAUUUACCUUUUGUUAUAUUUUGAUUUCAUUGUUAGUUAAGAUAUCAUUUUGAAGUUGUACAAUUUUUACAUUUAUAAGGAAUUGGUUGCAUCUGAAUGGCUAAUGAUAUUGAUUGUAGGUUUCAAGUAGGGAAUCAGAACUCUUUAGAGUUUAGGAGAAGCACUAUUAAUCUUCAUUGGCAUCCUUGCACUAGCUUCCCUCUGCAGUAGAACACUCGCAACAGAACAUAUUGAAGUAUGAGAUAGUAUGGACGGCUGAUAGAUAAGUGGGAGCAAUCACAUAGAUGUGUUAUGUUUCUAACCCUGGGACUCUCCUAAAAAUCUAUGCAGCGUACACUACUAAAAAAGCUGGAUGCUCGAACCUCUUAUUUUAAAAUAGAGAUACAAAGACACGAAUCUGUGACCUUUUAAAUGCACUAUCUAUAAUGACCAACUACUCUAAACACUGUUUGGUGAGUAAAGCUAACAUUCCAAAGGUACCUGUCAAUAACCAUUUUAUUUUAUGUUGUAUUACAUAAUAGAGAAUUUAUAGUUAGGGUAGCUACUCAAAGAUGAUGUAAGUGGCUAACUUAUCUCCAAUCCCACAAAAAUAAGCCACUUGACAAUAGGAAUGACUAUGAUAUGUCUCAUUUUGUGAAACAAAUAGAAAGUUUGUUAAGCAAAAAAAUACAUCUUAAAAUAGGAAAUGAGUGCAGUUGUAGCUUAACCCAGUUACACCUUUUCUUCUACGAGCCUUUCUAAGGUAAAAGAUAAAAGACAUUGUAGUAGGAAUUAACGGGUGUGGCGCAUGGAGAUAUAUAAAUGACUCUUCUCUAAUAUGACUCAUGUGAUUUAUUUAAGGCGAUGUAUAAAAAUACAGUCAGGGACGAAGUUAGCACUCGAUUAUGAGGGGGGCCAAAAAUACAUACAAAUCAAAAUUUCAGCAAAUAAACAAAAUUUACCUAGUUAAAUUUUUGAUGAAAAAAUAUAUUUACUAAAUAAUUAAUGUAAAAAAAGCAUUACCCCUUUUUUAUUUAUAGUUACUUAACUUCUAAUUAUUUUAUUUAUAUUAUUUAACUCAAAUAACUUUGAAAUUUACUAAAUCUAAUAGUAAUUCAGUAAAUGAUUAAAUUUAUUAAUUUUUGCUAAAUAUAAUUGUGAUAAUAAAUGAUUAUUAGUUGACAGAGCUAUUAAUUUUGAUAUAACCUUUAAUUUAAUUAAAUAAAAAAAUAUCUAAAAUAAUUAGAAGUUACGAAGAUACUAAAUAAAAAAUAAAUAAAUAAACUCAGAGUUGAGAGAGCAUUAUAUUAGCGCCAAAAUUUUUUAAAAAAAACAUGUCACUCAUCAUACUUUUAAAAUUAAAUAAAAAAUAUUUUUAAAAUUUUUUAUAUAAAAAGGGCUAUUAUGCAAAUUAUAAAAAUUAGGGGGGGGGGCAUGGCCCCCCUCAGUUCCAACAUAGCUCCGUCCCUGAAUACAGUCGGUAUAUUCAAGUCGAUCUAUAAAGAUAUGGUAGAUCUAACGGUUAGAAUGUAUCUGGACACAUUCUUGAUGGAUGGACGUAAUUUAAUAUCUUUACAUCAAGUUAUAUAUAAAUAUGUAACAUAUGAGAGUCCUGAUCUAAUCCUAAUUUUAAUUCCUGUGACGGCUCCAUCUCAAGGGAUAAGAAAAUUAGACUCGAAAUGUCUCGCUCUUUUGCAGAUUAUGAACAAGGACGAACCACGAGCAAGAAUUGACGUGUACAAUUCAGGUAUAAAAAUUGAAAUCAUGGCAAAAUGUACAAUCUUAAUUUCUUAUAAAAUUUAGAGUAAAUUGCAUUGUUACCUCCUGAACUUUUCGCGAAGUUUCACAUUACCCCUCGAACUCCUAAAAUGAACAUCUAACCCCCUAAACUCUAAUAUUUCUUUUUAUUACCCCUUCUGUCAGUUUUCCGUCAAGCUCCGUUAACCGAAAACUGACGGAAGGGGUAAAACGAGUGAAAUAUUAGAGUUUAGAAUGUUAGAUGUCUAUUUUAGGAGUUUGGGGGGUUAAGUGAAACUCUCUAAAAGUUCAGGAGGUAGUAGUGCAAUUUACUCUGUAGGGGACUCUUGACUAUAAAUUAUUUUAUUAUAAUAUGUUACUUAUGGAUUGACUACUAAUCCUCAAGUUAAUGAUCAUUCUUGAUUUUGAAUAUAUAUAUAUAUAUAUAUAUAUUAUCCUAAAAUAAAUCAUACCGUAAUUUAUCCUAUAUUUUAUUGUAAUAAAAUAAAAGCAAAAGAAAUGAAUUAGAGUGGCUUAAAGAUAAAAAAAGAGCGAUACUAACUACCUACGAUGCUCGAACACUCUACUAUCCUGAUGUACUCGCUAAUAUGGUUGAUUUACAAUAGGUGUCCUCACUCGGAUAUAGAGAUUUUAAUUCUCAGUUAAUUUUCUGUAGUACUCGUUUGUCCCUUUUAUCUUUAGAAGCAUUGUUCUAUAAAAUACACUUAAAUAAAAUUUUUAUACUUUAUUUCAGCCAAUUAGAAAUUUUUAAUAUAAAAAUAUAAAAAUAAUUUAUAGUAAAAAUUUGGAUAAAUUGUAUUGUUACCCUUGAACUUUUGGCGAGUUUCACUUAACCCCUCAGACUCCUAAAAUAGACAUCUAACACCCUAAACUCUAAUAUUUCAUUCGUUUUAUCCCUUCCGUCAGUUUCCGAUUAACGGAACUUGACGGAAAACUGACGGAAUGGGUAACAUGAACGAAAUAAUAGAGUUUAGGGGGUUAGAUGUCCAUUUUAGAAGUUCGAGGGAUAAAGUGAAACUUCACUAAAAGUUCAGAGGGUAAGAAUGCAAUUUACCCUAAACUUUAACACUCACUUCAUCCAUCCUACUUAGCUUCAUUUUGAGAUCCGCAUGUUUAAUUUUGCAUAUAUCAUAGCUCAAGGUGUUAAUGGAGACCCCUAGUUAUCUUAGUUGGUAAAAUAUUUCUGUGUGGAGCUAAUAUACUUUAAAUUUUACUGAUUUAUGAACAAAUUUGCAUUUUUGUUUUCCGUGCGCGGGGCCUCCAAAAAUCACGGCUCAGUGGGCUCACAAGACCUCUGUCAUUUUGUCCAGAGUGGUCCACAGUGGCAUGAUGCCUCCGUGGACCACCUGUUUUCUUAUUUUGCCAACCAGCUAUAAAUUAUAUAAAAUAUUAUAUUAUAAAAACAUAAAUGAAAUAUAAUAUAAUAUGUAAUAUUAGUUUAUACAUAAUUUAUAUAAUAUGUAUUAUCCAAUAUAAUAUAUUUUUAUAUAGAAUUUGUGUAAUAUAUUAUAUUAUAUAAAUUAUAUCAGUAUAAUAUACUAUAUAUCUAUAUAAUAUAAAUUUAUAUGUACGAUUAUAGUAAAGUUUUUAAAAAAAUUAAACAAGCCAAAUCCAAAAACAAAAACAAAACAAAAAGAUAAGUAGUUUUUACAUAUUUUUUUCUAUCAAUCAACAAGCGUGAUCCGAAAACUCACUUUUACUAUACUCAAACCAAACGUUUAAGAUCGUAAAACUCUUUUACCAUUAUUUUUUUUAUAUAGAAAAUUAUUUUGAGUAUUUUUAGUAGUUUUACAUGAAACUAAACCGCGCGUAAGCAUAUACCAAAACCAUGAGUUCGCUUGAGAUCGAAGUGUUAGUGGAUGUUUAAUUUUGUCUAAAUAAGCAUUAUUUAUGGCUUAAGCUAAAUCAGUUAAAUUUUUGAUAGGGUAAGUAUACAUAUUUAAGCACGUGCUUCUGAAAAUACGAAGGUUUUUGUAUUUCCAAAUUAUAUAUUUUCAAUGGUAAGACAUUUGAUUCGACAAACAACACUAUUAGAUAUGAUCUGUGCCAUUAGAACUAUUUCGAAACUGAAUUUUAUAAUAUUUCGAUAUUAUUUGCCAAGUGAUCAAAAUGUUUAAAAAAUGACUACUUUAAUGGUUGAUGCGGCAUGUUUGUAGGUUCAACAGUGUAAAAUAAUCUAAAUUAGAUAAAAGUUUACUGAGAGCUAGAUAUGUACUUCUGAUUUGAAAUUUAAAUUUUUUAUCACUAUUUUUUAUGAGAUUUUUAAUUUCAGCAUUCAUUUUGAGACUAUUCGUUCACUAGACAAAUAAAAUAAAAAAUGAUAAAUUUUAAUUUAUUCUAAAUAAUUUCAAUCAUCUAGAUCAUAUCUAACGGAUCUGGUCGAUUGCUGAAUCGGAUGUUCAAUCAUCAAAAACAACUCGAAAUACAAAGACCUCCGUAUUUUCGAAAGUACAGAAGCAAUGCUCGUUUUACAACCCGAAGAUUUCUCAAGUUCAUGAUAUAUAACCGCUUCGUUUAUUUCAUUUAGAAAAUAAAUUUAGCUGGAAAUGUGAAUCAACUAGGAUUCGAACUUGGGUCUCGGGUACCAACCACCAAGCCCUUUGCCACUUGUUUUAGGGAUGGUCGGUGAGAGCAAACUUUAUUAUCCUUAUAAUUAUGAUUAAGACUAUAAUUACAGAUAAUUUUAAGAAUUAGAUAAAGUUUUUUUGGAGGUUUUUUUAACUAUACUUUUGGAAGUACAAGGAUUACAAAAGUUUUAUUUACAAAAUAUGCGUUAUAUAAAUUUACAAAAAAUUACUAACUUUUUCUAACUUACUUUAAUGCAAGAGGACACAUUUUUUUUCGUAUUGCAAUUUAGCCGGCAAAAACAAGGUUUUUAAUAUUUGAUUGGUGGGGCAAAUUACUAGUAUAAAAUAGUUAGUAUUUUUUUAUAUAAUUUUAUUUUGGGAAAACUUCAAAUACCCUCCUUGUCGUUUCAUUUUUUCUUACUUUAGUACCCUAUGGUUUAAAGUGUAUCAAGUUAGUACACUGUGGUUUUGCACUUUUUCACUUUAAUACUCUGUGGUUUAAAGUGUAUCAAGUUAGUACUCUAUAGUUUCACACUUUAUCACUUUAGUACCCUAUGGUUUCGCACUUUAUCACUUUAGUACCAUGUGGUUUAAAAACCACAGGGUACUAACUUGAUAUAAAAAUAAAACCACAGGGUACUAACUUGAUACAAUAAAAUUUUAUUUUUUAAAUAUUUUUAUAUAGUUUUAUAAGUCUAAUUAUUAAUUAAAUAAAAAUUAUAUAAAAAUAAUUUAAUAGUUAAAUCUAUUUAAAUAAAAGUCAUUAAAAUUGGUAUAUGCCCAAAUAAAUUUAUACAUUACUUUAUUUUAUAAAGAUUUAUAUGAGAAGGAUUUGAGAUAAAUCUAUCAAAAUAAUGUUUAAAAAAUCAAUAGAUAGAAGGGAAGUAAAUUUGUAGAAUAAAUUGCUUAAUAAAAUUAAUUAAUUAUAUAUAUAUACAUAUACACUAUAUUUUUAAAAUUUUUCACUUGAAAUUUAAAUUAUGUAUUUUUUUACUACAGAUAUUUUAGUGAUUUAAUUAAAUCUAUCAUGUUAAAUUUUAUUAUACUAUUUAUUACGCAUAUUAUUAAUAAAUUAAUUAUUAAUUUCAUAGAGUUUAGAGAUUUAAUUUUAAAAUUUGAAGAAUUUAAAUUAUGUAUUUUUUAUACAACGAUAUUUUACGUGAUUUAAAUUAAAUCUAAUAUGUUAAAUUUUUAUUAAUAAUUAUAAUUAAUUUUAUAGAGUUUAGAGAUUUAAAAUAUUUAAAUUUUGAAGUUACAAAUUAGAAUAAAUAUUAUAAGUUAAAUUUAUUUAAAUUUAGAAUUUAAAAUUUAAAAUUUAAAUUUAAGAUUGAAAAUAUCAAAUUUUAAAUUUUGAUAUUAUAUUAUAUAUAUAUAUAUAUAUAUAUAUAUAUAUAUAUAUAUAUAUAUAUAUUGUUGGAAAAGAGAGUAAAGGAGGGUUUGGGAGGGUGACACGUGUCACUCUCUGGGCCUUCUAAAUCCUCCUUUAAUGUAAUACUAGUGCAGAGACCCGCGCGAUGCAGCAGGUAGAUUAUAGAAGUAAAAUUUAAAAAUUUUAAUAAAUUUUAUAUUUACGAUUUAUUGAUAUAUAGAAAGCUAUAACAUAUUAAGUACAGUUAAUUUGUAUGAAUAAAUUUACAUAGUAAGCAGAGGCCCCCGUGCGAACCGACUCAGCGAGCACUUAUAUAGGUCGCGGCUCGGCUUCGCGGGACGAUACUUCUUGAAGGAGACAAUGUUCUUCAGAGGCUCUUCUUUUUCUUCUUCUUCUUCUUCUUUGUUAACACAAUGAGAGAAAGAGGGAGAUGAGUGCGGAGUAGGAGAUUAGACGAUGAUAUUUUUUUAUGGUGUAUGUAAAAGAGUUACAAAAGAGAGGGGGUAAAAGAUUAAUUAAUGGAGGAGGGGAGUGGUGCAUGUAAAAGAAUUACAAAAUUGAAGGAGUGGGAGAUUAAUGGAGGAGGAAAGUGGUUAAAGUUAUUAAAUAGAAUUUUAAUAUGGUGCAUGUAAUUAAAUAUUGCAUGUAAUUAGAGUAGUGGUGAGGUGAGUUAGGCGUUAAGAAAAGAAGAAGGUGGUUUGAUUUAAAGUUGGAUUUAAAGUUACAUAUAAUUAAAUGUUGUAACAUGUUGUAACUUACAUAUAAUUAGAGGAGUCGAGAGGUGAAGAAUUGAGAGUUGAAAAGAGAAGAAAGUGGUUUGAUUUAAAGUUGGCUAUGAGAAGUAAGAAUAACAUGCCACGUGGCAAAAAAUAUUGUGGUUUCAUAUAGGUUUAUAGUUAUUAUUGGAAAAAAGAGUAAAUGAGGGUUUGGGAGGGUGACACGUGUCACUCUCUGGACCUCCCAAACCCUCUUUUAAUGUAAUAAAAA